GGUAAAUCGGUCGUUCAGGAGAGACCUAAGUCAUUCCUGAAUCUUCUCUGAUUCAGCAUCCAGCUUCCCUGGGACACUGUGCUGGUUCUACCACCACAUAUUUACAAAAUCCUGCAGUUCCCAGUUCCCCAUGGCUCCCUGCUUGGUGUCGGACACUCUGUCCUUGCUAAGAUGACUGCCACAGCCACUUCCUAUCUCUCUGCUCCUCCUUGCAUCCUCGAAUAAUGUCUUCUCCUUGGCCAGCUUGAGCCACUCACUCCCCAAAACUUCCAGUACUUCCUGCGUUCACUGCAAGCCAGAGCCCUCAGGGUUCCUAUGGCAUCCUACAAAGCACACCUCUCGGUGGCCCUGCUGUCCUUCCUAGGACCCCACUGCUCCAGCCACGCGGGUCCCGUCCAUGCACCCGGGUAUUUCUGUCCUAGGUCCUUGGCGAUGGCUCUUCCCUGGCCUGGGAAGCUCUCUCCCUGGUCUUCCCAUGAAAACUUCAUCUGCUUUCGGGUUUCCCUCUGGUUUCUUUUUCUCUAGACUAUUCUGUUAAAAGACUAGACAUACACAGCAUUGUGGGGGAGCAGAACAGUUCGAGGCUUAUAAAAUGAUUUGCACCCAUUAGAACGCUGUUUGCCAGUUUCUUCAAAAAUUACUGAAAUACCAACCGUACUUCCCAGGAAUUCCAUUCCUAUUUAUUUGCUCAAGGUAAAUAAAAGAUACACACACACACACACACACGUGAAAUUUAAUAGAUAAAAUGGCCAAAAGCUGACAAUUGCUCUAGUGCCCACUAUCUCACCAUUAGAGGAAUGGAUAAACACACUGCAGGAUAUUCAGGUUGGU
rnacentral:lncRNA from 1 species